rnacentral:rRNA from 1 species
CGUGCGCAGGCGGUUUUGUAAGUCUGUCGUGAAAGCCCCGGGCUCAACCUGGGAAUUGCGAUGGAGACUGCAAGGCUUGAAUCUGGCAGAGGGGGGUAGAAUUCCACGUGUAGCAGUGAAAUGCGUAGAGAUGUGGAGGAACACCGAUGGCGAAGGCAGCCCCCUGGGUCAAGAUUGACGCUCAUGCACGAAAGCGUGGGGAGCAAACAGGAUUAGAUACCCUGGUAGUCCACGCCCUAAACGAUGUCUACUAGUUGUCGGGUUUUAAUUAACUUGGUAACGCAGCUAACGCGUGAAGUAGACCGCCUGGGGAGUACGGUCGCAAGAUUAAAACUCAAAGGAAUUGACGGA